rnacentral:rRNA from 1 species
AGUUUGAUCAUGGCUCAGAUUGAACGCUGGCGGCAUGCCUUACACAUGCAAGUCGAACGGCAGCACGGGAGCUUGCUCCGCUGACGAGUGGCGAACGGGUGAGUAAUGCAUCGGAACGUGCCCUGAAGUGGGGAUAACGUAGCGAAAGUUACGCUAAUACCGCAUAUUCUGUGAGCAGGAAAGCAGGGGAUCUUCGGACCUUGCGCUUUUGGAGCGGCCGAUGUCGGAUUAGCUAGUUGGUGGGUAAAGGCCCACCAAGGCGACGAUCCGUAGCGGGUCUGAGAGGAUGAUCCGCCACACUGGAACUGAGACACGGUCCAGACUCCUACGGGAGGCAGCAGUGGGGAAUUUUGGACAAUGGGCGCAAGCCUGAUCCAGCCAUGCCGCGUGAGUGAAGAAGGCCUUCGGGUUGUAAAGCUCUUUCGGUGGGGAAGAAAUUGCUUGGGUUAAUACCCUGAGUAGAUGACGGUACCCGCAUAAGAAGCACCGGCUAACUACGUG